CGCGUAGGCGGCUUGGCAAGUCAGAUGUGAAAGCCCCGGGCUUAACUCGGGAAUUGCAUCUGAAACUGCUUUGCUUGAGUCCUGGAUGGGAUAGUGGAAUUCCCAGUGUAGCGGUGAAAUGCGUAGAUAUUGGGAGGAACACCUGCGGCGAAGGCGGCUAUCUGGACAGUGACUGACGCUGAGGCGCGAAAGCUAGGGGAGCGAACGGGAUUAGAUACCCCGGUAGUCCUAGCCGUAAACGAUGGGCACUUGGCGUUGGGGGUAUUGAGUCCCUCGGUGCCGGAGUUAACACGUUAAGUGCCCCGCCUGGGGAGUACGGUCGCAGGACUGAA
rnacentral:rRNA from 1 species